rnacentral:rRNA from 1 species
AUCGGUAAUUCUCUUGUCUCCAAUAGCGUAUACUAAAGUUGUUGCAGUUAAAAAGCUCGUAGUUGGAUUUCUGCGGGAGCGGGGCGGCACACCUGCUAUGCAGGUCGUAGCUAGCACUUCUCCUGCAUCCUGCCGCGAACCGUGCUACCAUUAGUUUGGUGGCGCCGGGGAUCGGCUCGUUUACUUUGAGAAAAAUAGAGUGUUCAAAGCAGGCCACACGCCUUGAAUAAGUUAGCAUGGAAUAAUGAUUAAGGACUUCGGUUCUAUUUUGUUGGUGUUCGGGACUGAAGUAAUGAUUGAUAGGGACAGUUGGGGCGGUCUGUAUUCCAAAGCGAGAGGUGAAAUUCUUAGACCUUCGGAAGACAAACAGCUGCGAAAGCGUUCCGCAAGGAUGUUCCCUUUGAUCAAAAACGAAAGUUAGGGGAUCGAAGACGAUCAGAUACCGUCGUAGUCUCAACUAUAAACUAUACCAGCUAGAAAUCGGCCAACGUUUCUAUAUACCGACUUGGUCGACACCUUAUGAGAAAUCAAAGCAUCUGGGUUCCGGGGGGAGUAUGGUCGCAAGGCUGAAGCUUAAAGGAAUUGACGGAAGGGCAACCACCAGCCGUGGAGCCUGCGGCUUAAUUUGACUCAACACGGGAAAACUUACCAGGUCCAGACAUAGUAAGGAUUGACAGAUUGAUAGCUCUUUCUUGAUUCUGUGGGUGGUGGUGCAUGUCCGUUCUUAGUUGGUGGAGUGAUUUGUCUGGUUAAUUCCGUUAACGAACAAGACCCCAGCCUGCUAAAUAGCGCGGCUGAGCUUUGCUCAACACGAACUUCUUAGAGGGACUAUGAUGCGCGAUAGCACAUGGAAGUUUAGGGCAAUAACAGGUCUGUGAUGCCCUUAGAUGUUCUAGACCGUACGCGGGCUACACUGGCGCCUACAUCGAGCAUAUCAGCUAACCCAAAAAGGUCUUAGCUAAUCUUUUGAACCAGGCGCCGCUGCUUGGAAUUGACCUUUGCAAUUGUUGGUCAUACAACGAGGAAUACCUUGUAAACGCAAGUCAUCAGCUCGCAUUAAAUAAGUCCCUGCCCCUUGUACACACCGCCCAAGGGCGAAUUUAGAGG